UCAUCUUCGUUUGCAUCUCCAAGAGCUGCUUCUUUCAAGUACUUGUCUGCCAAUUGGACUCUCUUCACAUUCUCUUGCUCCAUCACAAGCAUGUUACCAUAUUCAAGGAGGUUCUCAAGAGUCAUCUUUGGUUGGUCAAAAGUUGGAGGUCCUUCCAAUGAAUUAACGAGCUUCUUCCCAACAUUUUCUACGCCCACUGUGGCAAUCCACUUCUUCACUUCAUCAUCGUAUACUCUGGAUCUGACAGCACCAAAGAAAUCUACAAGCAAACAUAGAUAGCAAUAUCGAUCAUUUAGCUCCAAUUAUCCCAAAAUCAAACCCAGAUUCACAGCUGCAUUCGGCAUUUUUCUUGGUGUAAAAGAGAAAGCAGCAGAGAGCUUACCAAUGGACUGUCCAGGGAAAGUAUCGACAAGCUUUACAAUGUCCUCUUUGGGAACAUCGUCAGUCCUGAAAAUCCCUGUGCACACACCAAUCCGAUCUUCUCGAGUGGGAGCCCAGUAGAAUUUCUCCAUACGACCAUCACGGAUGAGUGGCGCAUACAAUGUGGAGAAGUCAUUUCCUGUAACUAUUAUAGGAACUCGGGGGUUUUCCUCUUUGUUGUACAUACCAGGAAGCUGGACGUUGGUCGGAUUAUCGGCGAUGUUCAUCAGCGUCGCAUUCACCAUCUGAUUGUUGACUGUGUAUUGGGUGGUUCCACCUAGCCUACCCGCUCCAGCAUCUAGAUCGUUGAUGAAGAGGCAACACAUCUUCCCCUUCUUUUUAAUGAUGUCUGCUGCCUCGCGAUAUCUUUGUCUGAUCAAUUUCGCAGGCUCUCCGGCAUUCCCACUUUCUAACUCCCCAGCACUCAUCACGAUGGGGCUGAAUGUUCAUCAACAUUGCAACAUCUAAUUAAUCUCGAGAAAUUUUGCAAUGAUGUCAAAUUAUAUGUUAUGAAAAGAGCGAAAUAAGAUCGAGUCUCACUUGAUUCCCAUCUUGGCAAAAACAAGCUCACAUUGGAAUGAUUUUCCUUGACCUUUGCCUCCCCAGAUACCCAAGAUGAGUGGAACCUGAGUCAAUUAUCAGCGAGUCAUUCAAUUUUCCCUUUCCCAUUUAUUAUUUUCUUGAAAAAUAACAGUACUCAACUCGACUAACCUUAAUAUUUGGGAGGUUCAAGAAGUUCUUGGUGAUGUGAACAACGACCUUGUCCAUGAAUGCAGGCGCAAUGUAGAAACCAUCCAUACUAUUGUCCAGGUUGUAUCUGUAAAACAACUAAACAUGUUCAAAAUUCCAUGCCGAAAUCGAGCAGAAAUAUCAUCGAACUACCAGAUCAAGUGAAUAUAGUUGCUUACUGGCGAAGACCUUGACUGAUAUAGUCAUAGGAAGUCAUGAUUGGGUUGUGAGUUCCUGUUCCCAUGGGAGCUUGGAAGAGAGAAUCUACCAUUCCUUUUCCUCUAGUAAUAUCUUGCUGAUCAUCAGAUGAAUCAGUUACAAGACCUCCCCACCUGUCUUUGGAGGUCUGCUUCUGCUCGUCAUAUUCGGCAGCAACCUUGAAAUUCCCUGACAACAACUUCUGGUUAUUGAUCUUGGAAUUAAGCUUCUUCAAGCUGCUGCCAAAGAAUGCUGAGCUAGGCACUGAAGGUCCUGCACCUGCACCAUUCAAAUUCAACUGCACAAAACACACUCCCUUCUUAGUAAUCAAAGAACCACAAAAUUGAAAAGCAAGUACAGACUCCAUAGCUUCAAUUGAAUUUGAGCACCAGCAUACUUAAAUUAUCACCAAAUAAAACUACAGAAACCCAAUUUUCAGCUUCGAAUAGCUUGAAGUGAGA
rnacentral:lncRNA from 1 species